GAUGAACGCUGGCGGCGUGCCUAAUACAUGCAAGUCGAGCGAACGGACGAGAAGCUUGCUUCUCUGAUGUUAGCGGCGGACGGGUGAGUAACACGUGGAUAACCUACCUAUAAGACUGGGAUAACUUUGGGAAACCGGAGCUAAUACCGGAUAAUAUUUUGAACCGCAUGGUUCAAAAGUGAAAGACGGUCCUGCUGUCACUUAUAGAUGGAUCCGCGCUGCAUUAGCUAGUUGGUAAGGUAACGGCUUACCAAGGCAACGAUGCAUAGCCGACCUGAGAGGGUGAUCGGCCACACUGGAACUGAGACACGGUCCAGACUCCUACGGGAGGCAGCAGUAGGGAAUCUUCCGCAAUGGGCGAAAGCCUGACGGAGCAACGCCGCGUGAGUGAUGAAGGUCUUCGGAUCGUAAAACUCUGUUAUUAGGGAAGAACAUAUGUGUAAGUAACUGUGCACAUCUUGACGGUACCUAAUCAGAAAGCCACGGCUAACUACGUG
rnacentral:rRNA from 1 species